UGUAGCUCAGUGGCAGAUCACUUGCCUUGCAUGCAUGAAGCACUGGGUUCAAAUCUCAGCA
rnacentral:tRNA from 1 species